GUGUGGCCCAGUGGUUAGGACACGAGGCUCAUAGCCUGGGGGUCGUAGGUUCGAGCCCUGGCUU
rnacentral:tRNA from 1 species